rnacentral:rRNA from 1 species
GACGAACGCUGGCGGCGUGCUUAACACAUGCAAGUCGAGCGGUAAGGCCCUUCGGGUACGACGAGCGGCGAACGGGUAGAGUAACACGUGGGUGACCUGCCUCUAGCUCUGGGAUAAGCCUGGGAAACUGGGUCUAAUACCGGAUAUGACUCCACGGCGCAUGUUGUGGGGUGGAAAGCCUUGUGCGGCUGGAGAUGGGCCCGCGGCCUAUCAGCUUGUUGGUGGGGUGAUGGCCACCAAGGCGACGACGGGUAGCCGGCCUGAGAGGGCGACCGGCCACACUGGGGACUGAGACACGGCCCAGACUCCUACGGGAGGCAGCAGUGGGGAAUCUUGCGCAAUGGGCGAAAGCCUGACGCAGCGACGCCGCGUGAGGGAUGACGGCCU